UGGGGAAUAUUGCACAAUGGACGGAAGUCUGAUGCAGCAACGCCGCGUGCGGGAUGACGGCCUUCGGGUUGUAAACCGCUUUUUCUCAUGACGAAGUUUUUUGACGGUAGUGGGGGAAGAAGCACCGGCUAACUACGUGCCAGCAGCCGCGGUGAUACGUAGGGUGCGAGCGUUGUCCGGAAUUAUUGGGCGUAAAGAGCUUGUAGGCGGUUUGUCGCGUCGAUAGUGCAAACUCAGUGCUUAACGCUGAGCCUGCUGUUGAUACGGGCAGACUAGAGGAAGGUAGGGGAGAAUGGAAUUCCCGGUUGAGCGGUUGAAUGCGCAGAUAUCGGGAGGAACACCGGUGGCGAAGGCGGUUCUCUGGGCCUUUCCUGACGCUGAGAAGCGAAAGCGUGGGGAGCGAACAGG
rnacentral:rRNA from 1 species